UUGAAGCGAGUAAAAUAUUGUAUCCAUUGUGGAGCAAUUAGGUUACAGUACGAAGGUCCAGCCUUCUGUUGCAAAAAAGGUAAGGUCAAGGUAUUUAUCCCAGAGGUUCCUCAAGAGCUGCAACAAUUAUUUUCAAGUCAGGUAGAUGAGGAUGCAAAGUACUUUAGGCAGCACAUUCGAUAUUUCAACUCCCACUUCUCCUUCACAAGCCUUGGAGUUACCCUGGACAAACGGGUCAACACCGCGGCAAGAACCGGUGUAUACACCUUCCGUGCUCAUGGUCAGUUGUACCACCGUCUAGACCAUCUUGUACCAGGUGAUCACGGACCCAGGCAUUUGCAGCUAUAG
rnacentral:rRNA from 1 species